rnacentral:lncRNA from 1 species
GCAUACAAUAUUACCACAUAGUUUCUCAUCAUAUGUAAAUAUCUAGUCUCCCACAGAGUGUAAAACAGAAAAUAAAAAAAUAAAAACAAAGAGUUAAAAUCAGACAAAAUACUUAAAUUAAAUAGUAGAAUACAAUUAACCAUAAUAUAAAUUUAAAAGAUAAAUAUAGCCUUUAUAACAUAUUAAUCAAGAUAUUUUUGCUUCAUGUAAUGUAAACCAUUUGACCUUAAAAUCUUUUUCAUUUAUUGUUCUCUUUUCAAGGGCCAUAACUUUAAAUAUGUAUUCUUCCGAUGUUUCAUUCUCGUUCUGGAAUUAUUUUUAAAAUACCUGAUACAAGUGGAAAAUAGUAAUAAAUUUAUUAAAUAUCAUAAUCAAAGUUAACUCUGUGAAAAAAUUGUGUAUUUACAAUGAGUAGUUUCUUAGUAAUAUUUUUUCAAAUUUUAUCACCAAUCAAAUCAAGUCUUUUUAGCCAAAAUUUUUAGAAAUGGGUGAGGGGUAAAAGAAAUUAUCUUACCAGAAAUAUGUUCAUCUAAUAGCCCUUUUUUUCUUUUCAAAGGACUAGGGGCUAUAAAGGCCAUUUUUUGGCCCCACCCCCAAAUUUCAUUUAAUUUAUCAUGUUGUAACUCUAUACCAUAAUUGCAUUUUGGGUCUAACUCGUUUAUUCUGUUGCCUAGCAACCAAUAUAAUGGUGGAGUUAAAGUCAUCAAAUAUGUUUAAUAUAUUAGAUUUGUUUUUGCGAUAAUAGCCAAAAAUGGGUAAAAAUUGACAGAAAAAUGGGAAAAUCAUCCAAAUUGGGUACUUUCAAAGGGCAGCAAAAAAAAAAAAAAGUGCACACUCAUAUGAUUUUUUCUUCACCAAUCAUUUUUUUAUAGUCCUUUAAACCCAAAAAUCAGGUUAAGCAAAAAAGUUUAAUUCUAGAAAUUUUUGGCUCGUCAGAGGUGUACAUCCUUAAAUGGUCAGUGAAGUAUUCCAGUACAGUAAAUUGUACAGCAAAAUGACCUCCACCAACAUAGCAAAAAUUAGACCCAAACAAAAAUUUCCCGAUAUAUGUUAAUAUUUUCUUCCAUCUUGUAAGUAAAAAAUACACUAAUGAAAUGAAAAUAAAGAAAAAGUCACAGUUUCUGUGACCCGCAUUGUUUCAGUUAAAUCAGUUAUGACUAUUGAACAGCAGUAAUCAGUAUACUACUAUUGCCUUCAUUUUUGAUAAGCUGACAUUUUUUUCUGAAUCCUUGAGCAUAUUCCCUGAAUCAAAUGAACAAUCAUAUCUAUAAAAAUUCAAAAAUUUUACUAAAAUUGACAUUCCGUUGAGUCUGAAUUUAGUUUUCCUAAGUUUACUG